rnacentral:lncRNA from 1 species
UGCGCGUACGUUUCGUGUUGGGUACACAACGACGCGCGAGACCGCUACCCCGGUACUGGUCGUCAUCGGGAAAUCUCCGGUCGUUCCGACGACCGCUGUGCACGCGGUAUCCGGGUGGCCGCGAGUACCGUUGGCGAUGGCGGUGAGUGUCCCAAGUCGUCUUCCGUCGCCUCCCGGCGGCCCCGCCUGACCGUUCCGUCGGUAAUGAAACUGCGAAAAUGACACGUCGACAACCGUCGCGCGACCAUCGAGACGCAGUCGGUACGGACCGGGCGGAGUGGUAAAAGAAUUCGUGGUACACGGGUUUGAACCUGCGAACGUCGGUCGAACAUGGUGGACGGAGCGGUUCGGUGCCUGCGUGAACCUGCUUCGCACAGUGACGCAGAUCACCGCGAACGCGUCAAUCGGUUUUUCGUAUUUCACGUUAUUUAUCACCAGCGUAACGUCGCAAUGGAAGCGAAAUCAUUCGAAGCCGUUCGUCCGCACAAAAUAUCGUAAGCCGAUUGCACGAAAUCGAAGUUAGAAAACGGUGGACAGGAUUGCUGAUGACCUCGAACAGAACAAUGAUUACGGCGAGUAGAUAAACACUUCGAUUAAGGCGGAAGGCCCGCGAAACAAAUCAAGACCAGUUACACGACUUGUCCGGUGUAGGUUAUAUACUGCGAUGAUACAGGCACGUGGAUAUUAAUAGAGUGUAAAAUAUCUUUCGUCAUGACCAUCAACAUCGCGCUCGGUAUGCAUAAUACCUCUAUUACAAUCACACAUCCGAUGGAACGAACAUUUUAAGUGCACGCCUAUCUUGCUGAAUCCUAUGCACUGUAAUUUCGCAUUUAAAGCGAACGUAUAUAAUUAUAAAACAUAAAUCUUUGACUUCCGGGAAACUCAGCCAACGUUGAAUAAGGAAGUAAGACCACAGUGCGUGAUUUGAACCACAGUUAUCAGUAAUUAUGCACUUAAACCUGCAAAAUUGGGACGACAUUUGAAGACAGUCCACCCAAAUGUUAGAAAUCGUUUUCGAGAAUUCUUUAAAGGUAAGGAAGCAGCAAAAAAGAAAUACAAGACAUUCCUUUAUCAAAUAACACGGUAAAAUCACGAAUAGAAAAUAUGUCACAAAACAUUGAAGAAUAGCUUAUAUAUCUCAUAAAAAAAUUUCUCUGGUUUGCUCUUCAGUGUGACAAAAGUACAGAUGUUGCAUAUUGUUGUCAAUUGCUAAUCUUUGUUCGAUUUUUAAGUGAAGAUAGUACAAUCAAAGAAGAAUUAUAAUUAUCACAAGUAUUAGAAACUACGUUAAAAGGGAUUGACGUUAUGAAAAUAAUUCUUGAUUUUGAAAAACAAACUAAUGUGGGAAUAUCUUGUUGGAUUUUGUACCGAUGGCGCCCCUGCUAUGCUCGGGUCACGUUCAGGUUUAGCUACAUUGGUAAAACAAAAAAAUCCAACCACAUAAACAGCGCACUGUAUUAUACAUCGUCAAGCGUUGGCGUCCAAAACAUUACUAAAAGACUUAGCUUUUGCAAUGAAAAUAUCCAGACAGUUAGUCAAUGCUGUUAAAAAUAGUACACUCAAUACAAGUUUUUCAAAAAUUAUGUGCAAAUAUGGACGCUGAGCAUGAAACAUUACUAUUUCAUACUGAAACAAGAUGGCUUUCAAAAGGAAAUAUGCUGGCAUGUUUAUUUGAGUUUCGAGAGGAGUUGAAGGGUUUUUUUAAUUGAUAAAGGUAUAAAAUAAUUACAUGAGCAAAUUUCUGAGCCAAAAAUUGAAAUGCAAAUUUCAUAUGUUGCAGAUAUAUUUGCUCAUUUAAAUUUAAAUUUGCAACUGCAAGGUUCUGGUAGUGUUAAACUUGAAGGUUCUGCAAAUAUUUUCGUAUUUGAAGAUAAAGUUCGCGCUUUUUUCUGUAAAAUAAAUCUUCGGAUUGACAAAACUCAAAUAAAAAAUUAUUACGCAUUUCCUACACUGCGAAUUCUUAUUGAUGACGAACACUAAAAAUGUUUUACUGAAGAUAUUCAAAAUAAAAUAUUAGAACACUUACGAAUCCUUAAAGAGGAAUUUACCAGAUACUUUUCAGAAUAUGGUGUAAGAGACACUGAUGCUUUUAAGAAGUUAAUUCAUAAUCUUUUCACUGUCGAAGUCAAGAACGUUCAAAAGGAAAUGCAAUAAUUAUUAGAGCUUCAGAAUGACAACACCUUUAAAAGUUAAUUUGAAUAUAAUACAAACUUAGAAGAGUUUUGGUGUAAAAAGGCUAAGGGGAUAUCAAUCCAAAUGUUCGGCAAACAGCAUUGCAUUUCCUCGUGGUUUUUUCAAUAUGUAUUUAAAUAUGUAUAUAUGCGAGCAAGAAUUUUCUUCACUACUUACUAUAAAAAAUAAAUAACGAAAUCGUCUAAAUCCAAGUGCUAAUAUGCGACUUGUACUGAGCAACAGCAUCGUUCCAAGAAUUUCACGACUGGUAAAAG